AUCUCGGUCUUUAGCAGGUACGAGUCGUUUCUCGGUGAGUACUUGUUUCGGCUGCUGUUAAGUAAGCUCCUAGACUGACGCCUCCGGCUCUUGGCGGUAAGGAUCGCCUUAAGCUAACUGGUCUUUAUAGGCCAGUCGCAGGCUCUUGCAGGGUUCACAAGAUGAAGAUGGUGGCGGAUUGCGAGUUGGGUACGGGCGCGACCUCAUUUAUACUCCUCCGGUUGUUGGGCCGAACUGCGGAAAAACCCCGGCUCGCGGGCUCUGCCUCUGAUGAAGCCUGUGUUGGUAGGGACAUCUGAGACUGUUUGAUGAAUGCCAACGGCUCUGAUGGCGGUGUGUGCCCAGUCCCGGAGUGGUCUUUGUUAAUGACCUCGGCCCGAGUCUCUUUCGGCCUCUUGCGUUCAGGAAGUCCACGUGGUUCUCUAAAUGGCUGCAUUCCGCACUGCAUCAUUUUCUGCCAGUGGUUCUUAACCUUAAUUUUGUGGAAUGCUCUCAUGCAAUUAUGGGUGGUGUAAACGAGUCGCGUACAUGAUACGGAAACGACGUAAUGCUUAAACUUAAUAAAGUAAGUUUUUAAAAUCCCUAAUAUUUUCUAGGAACGGUGCCAGGCAUGAAUGUAAUGUGGCUUUUGAUGGCUUCUGGUGGACAGUUGUGUACCAGAGGGAUGAGAACCGCUGCUGGGGUGAGUUACUGAAAUUCCCUCACAAAGGGAAGUUAGGUUGAAAGUCCACUGAAUGUGCCACAAUGAUGACAGUUUAUUUGCUACUCUUGACUGUGCGGAUGACGAGAAUUACUACCACCAUUACCCUAACUGAGGCACAGAAAAUGGUGGUUUAGAGAAAUUAGAGAUUGCACCCAGGUUUACACGAAACUGUUUCUUUUCAGGUCCUCAAGGGCAAGCUUAAUGCUGUAUGCAUGGGCAAACAGGUGGGAAACUUUUUAAUAGUUCACGUUUACCCAGUAAUUUCACUUCUUUAUAAGGGAUUACAAAUUGCCACGUCAAUGUUGGUGCUUACAUUCGGGUUUUCCUCCCCUUUUUCCCCAAAGUUUCGGCACUCUAGUUUCCUUCUACACUUUUAUAUUUAAUAGUAGGAGGAAUCUGAAGAAACAGAUACUAUGAUGGUUGCAUAGUUCAACAGAUUGAAACAUGAAAGAUAUCCAUUUGUCUGAUGUGUCUGAGAUAGUAAAAAUUUCUGCUGACAGGAUAAGUAAAAUGCCACUACUAAUCUAGUUUCCCUUUUUUUGUAGGCACUAAGCAGAAUUAACUGGAAGUUGAAGGGGUAAGUAAAAUUGUAAUUGAAGUAAACAUAGGUGACUGGGCAAACAUGACAAAGAAUACCAGUAAUGGUUUUUCAGGGUUGCCUUCUAAUGCAGAGGAAGCAGUCCUACCGCAAAGUGCUUGAACAGUGUGCUGAAUGCAUUAAAUAAAAGCCAGAUCCUUGUCCUGUCUUAAUUUGUGAAAGCAGCCUGUGUGAUGAUAAGCAAAUACUGACUGAAUAUGAAGGUCUUAAUUAGCUCUAUCUGAUUUCAGGCACUUUUUAGAUUUGUGGGGAGAAAAUUCAUCUUUGACUAUUAUAAAACGACUUUUAUUUCUUAGGUGGACUUGAGUCCUUGAGCUGUCCGGGCCAACUUUUUGGUAAGCAUUAAUGUUAAACAAGUAAGUUCAGCUGUUACUGAGAAUGCUGGUGAAGUAGAAUGCUUAACUACCAAGCUAAUUUCCUAUUUCUGGUUUGCAAGUGCAUGUUGAGCAUGCUCCGAACGGGGUUUUUGUAAUGAUGUUGAGCAAAUGUCUGACCUGAAAUGAGCAUGUAGACAAAUCUAACACUGAAGAACCCUGUGACAAAUAUGUGAGAAGAAUUUAACAGAAAGGUUGACAUUUUAAUGAAAGGUGUCUCAUUUCCCUUAGAGAUCCCGGGUACACGUUUUAAUCCAUGGAUUGCUCGCUUGCUUGCUUAGGGUACAAAUUUUGGAGACCUUUUAUAUAAAGGUGUGAAGAGUUACUGGCUACAAUGCAGGGAACAAGGAGUUCUGCAAAAAGGCACACGUUUUGUUAUCCUGAAGAUUGUUCUUUAUCCUGAAGAUUUCAGUGGCAUUUAUGACAGCAAUCAUGCAUCUGAACAGUUGACAGGCAGCUGGAAGGAUGCUCAUGGGGUAGAAGAGCAAACAAGGCUUUGUUUGUUUAAAGGCUAUUUUAUUGGCUGUGCUGCACCUCACCUGGGAUCUUCUCUUCCCCCACCAGGGAUGGAACCCAUGCCCCCUGCAGUGGAAGUGCAGAGCCCUAAGCACUGGACAAGCAGGGAAUUGUCCAAUCUCCAAUUUUAAUAAAUAUUUAUAAAC